AAAAAAACAAACCCUGAUUUCUAUGCCCAACGUUUGACUGUCCGUCUUAUUUAAAAAAAUUAUGAAAAAAACUAAAAAGACAAGUCACGCAUAAUAUAUUAAUCAUGUUUUAUCAUCUAACAACAAUGAAAAUACAAAUUAUAAAAAAUUUCAUAUAAGACGGACAAUUAAAAUUGGACACGGAAAUCUAGGGUUUGUCUUUUU
rnacentral:pre_miRNA from 1 species